UGGGUGACCAGACCAGACAACGGAGAAGAGUGGACUCUGGUCAGCUGCAGUGCAAGACUUUCAGUCAGCAAUAUGUGGAAACUGCUAGUCAUCGCUGCUGUUUGUGUGCAGCUGUGCUGUGCACAGUACCCGAGAUACCUUCGUUUCCCGGUUGGCAGAGGUAAGAUCUUUUGAUAUGAUUUCCUGGUGACUUUAUCAAGCCAUUUCAUAUCAUUUGCCUGUUCUCGCAGUCGGUUUAGAAGCUUGAUAGCAAAGUGUCUCUUCGUGAACAAGGCAGCUGCAAAGCUAAACUAUGUGUGCUCUAUGUUUUGGUAGCGAUAUCCUGGGGGUAACUCUCGACUUACCUUUGUCCUCUACAGGUGACGACACCAAAUGCCAUGACAACCAGGUUGACAAGAAGUACAACAUCGGUGAUGUCUGGAGUUCCCCAUUCUCUGGCUGUAAGCAGAGUCACUGCGUCAAGGACGACGGCGUUCUUUACAUUGACAGAUUCCAGUGUCCGUCGGUAAGAAAGCAGGUGGACUUCAAAAAGCUGAAGGCCAACAAUCUGUUCUGCCGCGAGGCUCGGGGAGAUAGGAGGAAGGAGUUUCCCGACUGCUGUGCCCGCCUUGUCUGUAAACACUACGUGGACGGCAAGCUUGUGCCGCUGCCGGCGCACAAAUAUCCCCUGCUCUAGUCAGGGCUGGAAUAAAGCUUUACUGGAGUGCGAACCAAAGAUGCUUGAAUAUUCGUCCGUGUGGGCACCUUUGGUGCAGCCUGAUGUGUCUAUUGCUGCCUAGGCUUUCAGUGCAAGUCUCGUGAUAUUGGUGUGUUGUCUUUUUAUACCAUUUGAUGCACACAAAUAUCACUUUUUAUUUAUUGAUCGCCUGUUGUGUUCGGCACCGAUCUGAUGCUCAAGAAAAUAUAUUUUCGAAUCCGGGUAAUCGGAACUUCU